rnacentral:rRNA from 1 species
UACGUAGGGUGCAAGCGUUGUCCGGAAUUAUUGGGCGUAAAGAGCGUGUAGGCGGCCCGAUUAGUCCGCUGUGAAAAGUCCAGGGCUCAACCCUGGAAUGCCGGUGGAUACUGUCGGGCUAGAGUCCGGAAGGGGCGAGUGGAAUUCCUGGUGUAGCGGUGAAAUGCGCAGAUAUCAGGAGGAACACCAAUGGCGAAGGCAGCUCGCUGGGACGUGACUGACGCUGAGACGCGAAAGCGUGGGGGAGCAAACAGG